CCUACGGGGCGCAGCAGUGAGGAAUAUUGGUCAAUGGGCGCAAGCCUGAACCAGCCAAGUCGCGUGAGGGAAGACGGUCCUAUGGAUUGUAAACCUCUUUUGUCGGGGAGCAAAAGACGCCACGCGUGGCGUUCCGAGAGUACCCGAAGAAAAAGCAUCGGCUAACUACGUGCCAGCAGCCGCGGUAAUACGUAGGGGGCAAGCGUUAUCCGGAUUUACUGGGUGUAAAGGGAGCGUAGACGGCAAUACAAGUCGGAAGUGAAAUACCCGGGCU
rnacentral:rRNA from 1 species